GACGAACCGUCCAAACGUUAUUCGGAAUUACUGGGCUUAAAGGGUGCGUAGGCGGCGCGGAAAGUUGGGUGUGAAAUCCCUCGGCUCAACCGAGGAACUGCGCCCGAUACUGUAGUGCUUGAGGGAGACAGAGGUAAGCGGAACUGAUGGUGGAGCGGUGAAAUGCGUUGAUAUCAUCAGGAACACCGGUGGCGAAAGCGGCUUACUGGGUCUCUUCUGACGCUGAGGUACGAAAGCUAGGGGAGCGAACGGG
rnacentral:rRNA from 1 species